CUCCUUUGGGAACGGUGGCCCAGGGAAGCAUGUUAAACCACAGGAUGAACUUGGUAUAUCUUCAUGGGAUAUGUUUACUUUAGUGGCCCUCGGGACAGGAGAAAACAAAGAUCACUUUUCUCUGGCCAAAUGGAGUCACCCAGCGAAGUACCUUCCCGAUGGGCCAUCUCUUUCAAGUGAGCAUAUCGAUUCAGUUCAACAAUAUGAAAACAAAAGACCACCAAUGUCCUGUGCUUUCCACAUGGUUCUAGUGAGAGGCAAGGGUGUGGCGUGGCCUUUGCCCGUGGGAUCUCUGACUGCUGGCUCAGGAAUUGUGCUGGUUUAUUUUAGGAAUGCUGCUGAACACUGGCAGGACGUAUUUCAGAGAUCGAAGGCAGGUCUUUGAAGGUAAUGGUGUCAGAGUUUGGGGGUAACAUGAAAACGCCAGCAACACUUAGGAAGAGGGGUUGGGGUGUAUUCCAUUUGGUGAUCCUUGUUCUUCUGAUCCCAAUUCAACUUUGUC
rnacentral:lncRNA from 13 species